rnacentral:rRNA from 1 species
GUGGGGAAUCUUCCGCAAUGGGCGAAAGCCUGACGGAGCAACGCCGCGUGAGUGAUGACGGCCUUCGGGUUGUAAAGCUCUGUGAUCGGGGACGAAUGAGCAGCGUGCCAAUACCACGCUGAAAUGACGGUACCCGAAAAGCAAGCCACGGCUAACUACGUGCCAGCAGCCGCGGUAAUACGUAGGUGGCAAGCGUUGUCCGGAAUUAUUGGGCGUAAAGCGCGCGCAGGCGGUUUGCUAAGUCCAUCUUAAAAGUGCGGGGCUUAACCCCGUGAUGGGAUGGAAACUGGCAGACUGGAGUAUCGGAGAGGAAAGCGGAAUUCCUAGUGUAGCGGUGAAAUGCGUAGAGAUUAGGAAGAACACCGGUGGCGAAGGCGGCUUUCUGGACGACAACUGACGCUGAGGCGCGAAAGCGUGGGGAGCAAACAGGAUUAGAAACCCCAGUAGUCC